UUCGGGGUACUCGAGCGGCGAACGGGUGAGUAACACGUGAGCAACCUGCCCUAGGCUUUGGGAUAACCCCGGGAAACCGGGGCUAAUACCGAAUAGGACCUGGCCUCGCAUGAGGCUGGGUGGAAAGUUUUUCGGCCUGGGAUGGGCUCGCGGCCUAUCAGCUUGUUGGUGGGGUGAUGGCCUACCAAGGCGACGACGGGUAGCCGGCCUGAGAGGGCGACCGGCCACACUGGGACUGAGACACGGCCCAGACUCCUACGGGAGGCAGCAGUGGGGAAUAUUGCACAAUGGGCGGAAGCCUGAUGCAGCGACGCCGCGUGAGGGAUGACGGCCUUCGGGUUGUAAACCUCUUUCAGCAGGGACGAAGCGUAAGUGACGGUACCUGCAGAAGAAGCGCCGGCCAACUACGUGCCAGCAGCCGCGGUAAGACGUAGGGCGCGAGCGUUGUCCGGAUUUAUUGGGCGUAAAGAGCUCGUAGGCGGCUUGUCGCGUCGACUGUGAAAACCCGCAGCUCAACUGCGGGCCUGCAGUCGAUACGGGCAGGCUAGAGUUCGGUAGGGGAGACUGGAAUUCCUGGUGUAGCGGUGAAAUGCGCAGAUAU
rnacentral:rRNA from 1 species